rnacentral:rRNA from 1 species
UACGGAGGGGGCGAGCGUUGUCCGAAGUUACUGGGCGUAAAGCGCGUGUAGGCGGGUUGCCAAGUCCGCUGUGAAAGCCCGAGGCUCAACCUCGGAGGGUCGGUGGAUACUGGCAAUCUUGAAGGUGCUAGGGGGAGAUGGAAUUACCGGUGUAGCGGUGAAAUGCGUAGAGAUCGGUAGGAACACCAGUGGCGAAGGCGGUCUCCUGGGGCAUUCUUGACGUUGAGACGCGAAAGCUGGGGGAGCGAACGGG